UUUGGAGAGUUUGAUCCUGGCUCAGGACGAACGCUGGCGGCGUGCCUAAUACAUGCAAGUCGAGCGGAGUUGAUG
rnacentral:rRNA from 1 species